GACGAACGCUGGCGGCGUGCUUAACACAUGCAAGUCGAGCGGAAAGGCCCUUCGGGGUACUCGAGCGGCGAACGGGUGAGUAACACGUGAGUAACCUGCCCUAGGCUUUGGGAUAACCCU
rnacentral:rRNA from 1 species